UACGUAGGGUGCAAGCGUUAAUCGGAAUUACUGGGCGUAAAGCGUGCGCAGGCGGUUUUGUAAGUUUGUCGUGAAAUCCCCGGGCUCAACCUGGGAAUGGCGAUGAAGACUGCAAGGCUAGAGUUUGGCAGAGGGGGGGUAGAAUUCCACGUGUAGCAGUGAAAAUGCGUAGAUAUGUGGAGGAACACCGAUGGCGAAGGCAGCCCCCUGGGUCAAAACUGACGCUCAUGCACGAAAAGCGUGGGGAGCAAACAGG
rnacentral:rRNA from 1 species